CCUACGGGUGGCAGCAGUGGGGGAUAUUGCACAAUGGGGGAAACCCUGAUGCAGCGACGCCGCGUGUGGGAUGACGGUCUUCUGUAUUGUAAACCACUGUUCCCAGGGACGAAAAUGACGGUACCUGGGGAGGAAGCUCCGGCAACCUCCGUGCCCGCAGCCGCGGUCAUACGUAGGGAGCAAGCGUUGUCCGGAAUUACUGGGUGUAAAGGGAGCGUAGGCGGGGAUGCAAGUUGGGUGUCAAAACUACCGGCUCAACCGAUAGUCGCACUCAAAACUGCAACUCUUGAGUGAAGUAGAGGCAGGCGGAAUUCCUAGUGUAGCGGUGAAAUGCGUAGAUAUUAGGAGGAACACCAGUGGCGAAGGCGGCCUGCUGGGCUUUUACUGACGCUGAGGCUCGAAAGUGUGGGGAGCAAACAGGAUUAGAUACCCGAGUAGUC
rnacentral:rRNA from 1 species